GGCGAGCAGUUUGAAACUGAUACAUUGAAUACUGAUGGAAGCAUUCCGUUCAUGGGAGGGGUCACAUUAAAUGGAAAGCAAGCAGAUUGAAAGUGUUACGACAAAUACUGAUGAUAUUCUUUCGAGUGUACCUGAAAGAAGUUCCCACACUCUGUAGAGUGCUUCCAAGUCUUUCCCCAGAAGUGAUAGGAAGAUCCGAAAACCGAAAUUAACAAUUAACUCCUUGGAAUGCAAAAUAUAUGGUACCUAUAUCGAUUAUUUGUUCAUUAUGAUUUCUGAUAACGAUUGUACAAAUUCAACAAAUUAUAUUGCCUCAAAAAAAUUUAUUGCAUGGAAAUAAGAACUUUGAUAUAUAAUAUUCAAUAUGUACUUUUGUAUCCUUUAUUCA